CAGCCGCGCGGUAACACAGAGGGUGCGAGCGUUAAUCGGAUUUACUGGGCGUAAAGCGUGCGUAGGCGGCUUCUUAAGUCGGAUGUGAAAUCCCUGAGCUUAACUUAGGAAUUGCAUUCGAUACUGGGAAGCUAGAGUAUGGGAGAGGAUGGUAGAAUUCCAGGUGUAGCGGUGAAAUGCGUAGAGAUCUGGAGGAAUACCGAUGGCGAAGGCAGCCAUCUGGCCUAAUACUGACGCUGAGGUACGAAAGCAUGGGGAGCAAACAGGAUUAGAUACCCCGGUAGUCCCUGUCUCUUAUACA
rnacentral:rRNA from 1 species